rnacentral:rRNA from 1 species
AUUGAACGCUGGCGGCAGGCCUAACACAUGCAAGUCGAGCGAGGGGCGGAGGGGUGAGUUAUGUGGGGGGAUCUGCCUGAUGGAGGGGGAUAACUAGUGGAAAGGGGAGCAUAUAGCGCAUACCAGCAGAAGAACCCAUAUGGGAUUAGCUUGUAGGUGAGGUAACGGCUCACCUAGGCGACGAUCCCUAGCUGGUCUGAGAGGAUGAUCAGCCACACUGGGACUGAGACACGGCCCAGACUCCUACGGGAGGCAGCAGUGGGGAAUAUUGCACAAUGGGCGCAAGCCUGAUGCAGCCAUGCCGCGUGUAUGAAGAAGGCCUUCGGGUUGUAAAGUACUUUCAGCGAGGAGGCGGUACUCGCAGAAGAAGCACCGGCUAACUCCGUGCCAGCCGCCGCGGUAAUAC